GGAGAGGUGCCGGAGCGGCCGAACGGGCGCGACUGGAAAUCGCGUAGGGGUUAACCGCCUCUCGCGGGUUCGAAUCCCGCCCUCUCCG
rnacentral:tRNA from 1 species